rnacentral:rRNA from 1 species
GUGGGGAAUAUUGGACAAUGGGCGAAAGCCUGAUCCAGCCAUGCCGCGUGUGUGAAGAAGGUCUUCGGAUUGUAAAGCACUUUAAGUUGGGAGGAAGGGCAGUAAGUUAAUACCUUGCUGUUUUGACGUUACCGACAGAAUAAGCACCGGCUAACUUCGUGCCAGCAGCCGCGGUAAUACGAAGGGUGCAAGCGUUAAUCGGAAUUACUGGGCGUAAAGCGCGCGUAGGUGGUUUUGUAAGUUGGAGGUGAAAUCCCCGGGCUCAACCUGGGAACUGCCUCCAAAACUGCAUGACUAGAGUACGGUAAAGGGUAGUGGAAUUUCCUGUGUAGCGGUGAAAUGCGUAGAUAUAGGAAGGAACACCAGUGGCGAAGGCGACUACCUGGACUGAUACUGACACUGAGGUGCGAAAGCGUGGGGAGCAAACAGGAUUAGAAACCCGAGUAGUCC